GAUGAAGAACGCAGCGAAAUACGAUACUUGGUGUGAAUUGCAGAAUCCCGUGAACCAUCGAGUCUUUGAACGCAAGUUGCGCCCGAAGCCAUUAGGCCGAGGGCACGCCUGCCUGGGCGUCACACGUCGUUGCCCCCCCAUCUACUCCUUCGGGAUUGCGGGGGGCGGAUGAUGGCCUCUCGUGCGCCUCGUCGCGCGGUUGGCCUAAAUGCCAAGUCCUCGGCGACGCACGCCACGACAAUCGGUGGUUGCGAAACCUCGGUUGCCUGUCGUGUGCGGUCGUCGCGCAUCGAGGGCUCGAAAAAAUUGCCGGGCUUCGGCUCGACUUUCAACGCGACCCCAGGUCAGGCGGGGUUACCCGCUGAAUUUAAGCAUAUCAAUAAGCGGAGGA
rnacentral:misc_RNA from 1 species